AUGAACGCUGGCGGCGUGCCUAAUACCUGCAAGUCGCGCGAACGGACGAGAAGCUUGCUUCUCUGAUGUUAGCGGCGGACGGGUGAGUAACACGUGGAUAACCUACCUAUAAGACUGGGAUAACUUCGGGAAACCGGAUCUAAUACCGGAUGAUAUUUUGAACCGCAUGGUUCAAAAGUGAAAGACGGUCUUGCUGUCACUUAUAGAUGGAUCCGCGCUGCAUUAGCUAGUUGGUAAGGUAACGGCUUACCAAGGCAACGAUGCAUAGCCGACCUGAGAGGGUGAUCGGCCACACUGGAACUGAGACACGGUCCAGACUCCUACGGGAGGCAGCAGUAGGGAAUCUUCCGCAAUGGGCGAAAGCCUGACGGAGCAACGCCGCGUGAGUGAUGAAGGUCUUCGGAUCGUAAAACUCUGUUAUUAGGGAAGAACAUAUGUGUAAGUAACUGUGCACAUCUUGACGGUACCUAAUCAGAAAGCCACGGCUAACUACGUG
rnacentral:rRNA from 1 species